AGUCAGCUGCACGCAGAGCUAGCGGGUGGACGUGUGUUGACCAGUGCUCCGACUCUGUGAUUUACUAUUAUAUAAAAACCCCCGGGAAUACACCCUAUAGCCGCUGCAGGCUGUUGCAGUCAGUCUGUUGGACCGGAUCGCCAAUCUGUCUCCACACCUGCCUGACGACACACGUGCUUGAGCCCCCCCACACACACCUGCUGAGCGCCACACAACUGCUGAGCGUCGCAUCUGCUCCUCGGCGCCACGAUUAUGUCACUGGUCACCGUUUUGGGCAGCAUGGGCAAUGGGGGCAGAGUGCCCGGCAAGGCGAACGUUUACGGCUUCGGCGGGAUUCCUCCCUCGCUGAAGGAGAAGAAGCUGAAGGAGGCGAAGCACCACCAGCAGCACCAACAGCUCCACCAGCAGCACCAACAGCACCACCAGCAGCACCAACAGCACCACCACCAACAGCAGCACCACGCCGGGGCCAAGGCUUCACCCACCACACCCACCGACACCCACUCCGACACUCACUCCGACACGAAGAAGAAAGAAGACGUUAAAUGAGAAAACGUGGAGGUGAAGACAUGCUGUUGGUGAGGUUCUUCGUGCCUGUAGCAGCCUGAAGGGUGGAGAUGGCUGAUCAUUUUUAUAUCUGAAGGUGGAGCCGCCCCUGCUGGAGCCUCACACGCACAAAGGCCAACGGAGGCUCGGUUGGGGGCGGCUUCUCCCCAUCGUAGAGUUUAUCCGCUGACUGGGCUACUCAAGAGGCAUCAUGGCGACCUCUCUCAGGCCUGCCACGGUGCUCUAUUCUCCUUGGGCUCGUGGAUGCCCAGUCCAUAGCUCUCUGGAACUCGUGGAGAGCGUUCAAAGCUCUCCAGAGCUCUAGAAGUGUAUUCACAGCGUCCUAUGGGUCGUCGACACGAAGUUCGCCGCUCUUCAGCAGUUGUGGAAACGGAGUUCGAAGUUCCUCAGAGCUUGUGGAAACGGAGUUCGCAGUUCCUCAGAGCUUGUGGACACGGAUACUGAAAUAAUCUUGGAUUUCCCGAGGCCAAGUCUAGCACAUUCUUCCGCUCAAAUUCUUAAGAGGACAGAGCCCAUUCAUCAAUGUAAUUAAUAUUCGAGAUAUAUGUCAAAUCCUUUAAAAUAUGUUAUUCAAUAAUAUACCCUUACCUUGUAGGACAGGAUUUCUUCCUACAAGCGUUUAGGCACAUUGGUAGGGCAUCCUCCCAGGAUUCUAGCAUCUUUUUCAAACUCUCCAUUCCAUCCUCUUUCAGUAAUCAAAACACGUGCACAAGCAUUACCACCUCUGCUUUGUAUAUACGCAGCAUGAAGCAUUUCAAGCUUAUUUAUGCUGUAGCGAGACGACUAAUGCCUUCGUAAAUGUCUCCUUGUUUGCUUGGUUAGUUGCCAUUUAGCCUUCAGUCUUGCGAAGUGCCCGUUGCUAUUCUAGCAAGUAGAAUGGCAACUGCCACCUGGCCAAGUCUACUGACUACUAUUGCUGGGCCAAGUAGAGUGGUUGCUCUCACUCAACCAAAUAGGCUACAUGUUGUCACUUAGCCAAGUAGAUUGGCUGUCACUCGACCAAGUAAACUAGCAUUUGUCACUCUAUCGAGUGGCUGUUGUCACUCGAUCAAGUGGAGAAGCAGCUGUCACUCGACUAAACACAGCAGUUGCUGCCACUUGGCCUCAGGCCUAAUAUAGCGGAUACUACGGUUCAACGCAGUGGAGAAGCUGUUAUCAAUCCAUCAAGUAGAGUCGCUGGUAUCACUCCUGCAGGUAGUGUAGGUGCUGCCCCUCGACCAAACCAAGUAGCAGCUAUAUCACUCGACCAAGAAGAGAGUAGCGAUGAUCACACGGCCGCCUACAGAAGCUGCUAUCACUCGGCCAAGCAGGGCGACAAGUGCUACUCGGCCAAGGACAAUGUUCCUCUCGGCCAGAACGUUCGGGCCUCGUUCGUAUAAGAUUUGACGCACAAAUUCAAUGUUUCCUUUUGUUUCAGUAUUGCUCAAAAAACUUGCAACGACGUGGCUGAUAUGUAUUGACCAAAACAGCAAUUCGACUCCUGCUUGAGACGCCACUGUCUUGACGGACUCUCAAUGGUGCCUCGAUCAAUGUUAUCUUAAGAGUUACCUUUUGGGGGAUAAUUAUUGAAUCUAGCUAUUUAUGUACCUAUCAAAUGCUAUUAUUUUUCCAAAAAAAAAACACAAAAAAAUCUUCAGAGAGGAUUUUUGGAAGUGGAACCCACCUGAGGGGCCAGUUUGACCGACUUUUGAAGGGUUCUCUAUAUAUUUUAUCACAUAGAAAUCUUGAGUGCAUUUGGCCAUAAUGUAGAAACAUAAUUUUCUAUAGGAGAUGAGAACUAAAUACACAACAAGUCAUUUUAUUCCAUAGUGAGAUUUUAAGUAAAUGAAAACAAAUAACCCUUCAAGUUCUCAUUAUUUGUUUUCUUGGUGAAUGAAGCUUUUGUAAAGGUAAUUCUUUGGAGCAUGUGUGUAAAAAUAACAUUUCAAUUGACAAGUGUCGCUGGAAGACAUUUAGUGUACAUAAGUAACGAGGAUCAGGGUGAGUACUGUACGUACAGUCGUCUGCUGGCAACCUCGAACACUGUAUAUUCUCACCCCUACCCCCCAGGGGCAAGCCUGGGCACGAGUCGUUGAUGUCGCAGUCAAUGAUGAUCCUCUGUUGAUCUGACGUUGAUGUAGCAGUGAGUCAACACUGAUGCCCUGUUGAUCUGACGUUGAUGUACCGUUAUAUUACUGUAUAUAACAUGGCGUUGAUGUCAGCGGUGGGCUGUGAGGCGCCUGUUUCCAACCCUUGCCACCAGAGGCACUCGGGUGCUGAACAUCACCGUGAACUGAACAGCAAGACUGAGUCUUGAGGGACCCCUUUGUUGCAGUGAAGACUGUAUCAGUUUAUUUCUGUAUACUGUAUGUUUGGUCGAGGAGGUCUGUUGACCAUGGUAGUCACACGUUCAUAUAAACGGCACCACUUUAACUGACUUUCAGUUGGAGAGGAAGUAUAUAUAGGAUACUUUUACAGCACUUAUAGUAUACUCUUUGGUUGGCAUGUAGAGUGAUGGUUCUCUUCUGAUGAUGGAAGAUAUCGCAGUAAUGAGAGAAGGCGCUAGGACACUAGGAAGGUAUACCAGGACAAGGAGCCAGGAUAUGAGACAGACUAAGUGCUGGGAUAUGAGACAGACUAAGUGCUGGGAUAUGAGACAGACUAAGUGCUGGGAUAUGAGACAGACUAAGAGCUUGCAUAUAAAGACUGAUAAAGAGCCAGGACAUGAUAACAUAGUGGCGGAACAGUGCCCGGCGGCUACUUAGAUCAUCGGGGGAUCGAACGUCGAUCUUGCAAUGAGGUAGGAAUGAGGCGCCUCACUGACUCACCGUUGAGCCAGACUCAUCGAUGUGCUGCGGUGUUUGUGUGUGUGUGUGUGUGUGUAACACGCGUACUCAUCAAGUCAUUCAGGUUAUUCAUGGUGUUAAAAUCCCCUUGUACCCCCAUUUAUACAUUUAAAAAAAUAUGAAAAUUACAUGUAUUUUAUAUUCAAUAUAUAAAUCUUGUUCUUGCGUGCUCUUAGAAAAAUAUUCCUUCUCUUUAUUGUUUGAAAUAUAAUUCAAAAGUACACAAAAAAAUACAAAAAAUGUGUCGUUCAUGCUGAUUGAAAAUACUGAACAUAUCAGAAAAUGCCCCAAUAUUUUGUACCGUAGAUUGUACCACGCUUCCUAUAUAACUUGAUAUACCCAGACAGUAGUAUAUUUAUGUACUCUGUUGAUGCUAUAAGCUGCAGUACUGAACAGGGACGAGCUGGUAACGCAGUCCACUGUCCCAGCUGGUACUGAGGUAAAUAAUGGGUAAGUAGGUAGUUCUAGGGAAACUGACUACAGAAGGGUAAUUGUGGUCUUGUUUAUUAUCCAGCUAGGGAGGAAAUGGUCGACUUACCCAGUCAGUUGACGGGGAAAUGGUCGACUUACCCAGUCAGUUGACGGGGAAAUGGUCGACUUACCCAGUCAGUUGACGGGGAAAUGGUCGACUUACCCAGUCAGUUGACGGGGAAAUGGUCGACUUACCCAGUCAGUUGACGGGGAAAUGGUCGACUUACCCAGUUAGUUGACGGGGAAAUGGUCGACUUACCCAGUCAGUUGACGGGGAAAUGGUCGACUUACCCAGUCAGUUGACGGGAAAAUGAUCGACUUAUCCAGUCAGUUGACGGGGAAAUGGUCGACUUACCCAGUCAGUUGACGGGGAAAUGGUCGACUUACCCAGUCAGUUGAUGGGGAAAUGGUCGACUUACCCAGUCAGUUGACGGGGAAAUGGUCGACUUACCCAGUCAGUUGACGGGGAAAUGGUCGACUUACCCAGUCAGUUGACGGGGAAAUGGUCGACUUACCCAGUCAGUUGACGGGGAAAUGGUCGACUUACCCAGUCAGUUGACGGGGAAAUGGUCGACUUACCCAGUCAGUUGACGGGGAAAUGGUCGACUUACCCAGUUAGUUGACGGGGAAAUGGUCGACUUACCCAGUCAGUUGACGGGGAAAUGGUCGACUUACCCAGUCAGUUGACGGGGAAAUGGUCGACUUACCCAGUUAGUUGAUGGGGAAAUGGUCGACUUACCCAGUUAGUUGACGGGGAAAUGGUCGACUUACCCAGGUAGUUGAUGGGGAAGUGGUCGACUUACCCAGGCAGUUGAUGAGGAAAUGGUCGACUUACCCAGUCAGCUAAGGGGGGGGGGAUAAUUAACGAUUGGCCUCUUAACUAGCCAAGUAAACAGUUUCUGUUCGCCUCGUUGUCCAAGAUUCGACUAUUCCCAGCACCUUAUAUUAAUGACUCAAUGGUAUAUCCCAGAAGACAUAUAAGAGCCAACAGAAUAGUCAACUAAUGGUCAAACUAUUAUAGUCUCUCCGAACGAAUUAUAAUAUAACUCUCGAGUGAAGAAUUGAAUUCCAUAAUGUUAUACAUUACUUCAGAAACUUGGCUCAUUAAUUAAUCAAGAUUUUAAUUUUUUUAUCAUUUGUGCAUUUAAGUAUUUUCAAAGGGUAAAAAUUUAAUGAAUAUUUUGUAAGUAGUUUGAUUACAAAAAAAUAAUGUUCAUGACUAUUUUGCAACGUAAAUAAUGAAAUAAAAAUCCUCUAGAAAAUAUAUAUUUUUUUUAAGUUCAGGAAAUGUUUUCAUUGUAGUCGGAUUUUGGAAAAUUUGCUUCAAGUUCAAGAUAUUUAAACGUUAAACUUUUAUGAUGGGUUUUAUUUAAUUAAAACGAAAACAUAUCUUCAAAAGGCUUUUAUAUUUUGAAGCAUUUCAUAGAAACGUGUCGAUUCAGAAUUUGUAAUUACUAAUUUUUAUUGUUAUUAUUAUUUUAUCCUUAGGUAACUCCAGAGACUCAGGAUAACAGGUGCAUAAUUUUGAAGGAAAUUUCUGUGGUUUUGAAAAAAAAAAAAUUGUGUAGUUUUGAAGAAAAAUCGAGUAGUUUUUCUAAAAAAUGUGAGUAGUUUUCAAAGAAAUUUGAGUAGCUUUUUUAAAAAUUGUAGCAACUUUCAACGAAAUUUGAAAAAUUUCUUACCACGGUGAGAGUAAUUUUCAGUUCAAAAUGAACUUAAAAAAUAUUGUGAUUUAAUAUUGAACUGACCUCCCAAACAUUUCUCUAAAAGACCGUGAUCUAAAUUUACCAAGUAUUUUUGUACAGUUUUGAACAAAUCUGAACAAUGGAGGGGAAGCUUGCAUGUGGCACAGAGGCUCAUCUUUAUCUAUGUCUGUAAAAAAAAAAAAUGAAAAAUUUAUGUACAUAUUAAAUUGUGCCUUGAAAUGUGACAUUAUAAUUCUCUGUAUUAAAAUAUCCUCUCUAGAAACACAACUUUAUGCUAGGACCUCUAGAGAGUACUAGGACCUCUUAGUACUAGGACCUCUUAGUACUAAGACCUCUUAGAGAGUACUAGGAUCUCUUAGAGAGUAUUAAGACCUCUUAGAGAGUACUAGGACCUCUUAGAGAGUACUAGGAGCUCUUAGAGAGUACUAGGAUCUCUAGAGAGUACUAGGACCUCUAGAGAGUACUAGGACCUCUAGAGAGUACUAGGACCUCUUAGAGAGUACUAGGACCUCUAGAGAGUACUAGGACCUCUUAGAGAGUACUAGGACCUCUUAGAGAGUACUAGGACCUCUUAGAGAGUACUAGGACCUCUAGAGAGUACUAGGACCUCUAGAGAGUACUAGGACCUCUAGAGAGUACUAGGACCUCUUAGAGAGUACUAGGACCUCUAGAGAGUACUAGGACCUCUUAGAGAGAAAUACGACGUCUAGAGAGUACUAGGACCUCUUAGAGAGUACUAGGACCUCUAGAGAGUACUAGGCCCUCUAGAGAGUAUUUGGACCUCUUAGAGAGUACUAGGCCCUCCAGAGAGUACUAGGACCUCUUAGAGAGUACUAGGACCUCUUGGAGAGUACUAGGAGCUCUUAGAGAGUAUUAAGACCUCUUAGAGAGUACUAGGACCUUAGAGAGUACUAGGACCUCUACAGAGUACUAGGACCUCUUAGAGAGUACUAGGACCUCUACAGAGUACUAGGACCUCUAGAGAGUACUAGGACCUCUUAGAGAGUACUAGGACCUCUAGAGAGUACUAGGACCUCGUAGAGAGUACUAAGACCUCUUAGAGAGUACUAAGACCUCUUAGAGAGUACUAGGACCUCUUAGAGAGUACUAGGACCUCUAGAGAGUACUAGGACCUCUUAGAGAGUACUAGGACCUCUUAGAGAGUACUAGGACCUCUUAGAGAGUACUAGGACCUCUUAGAGAGUACUAGGACCUCUAGAGAGUACUAGGACCUCUAGAGAGUACUAGGACCUCUAGAGAGUACUAAGACCUCUAGAGAGUACUAAGACCUCUUAGAGAGUACUAGGACCUCUUGGAGAGUACUAGGACCUCUUAGAGAGUACUAGGACCUCUAGAGAGUACUAAGACCUCUUAGAGAGUACUAGGACCUCUAGAGAGUACUAAGACCUCUAGAGAGUACUAGGACCUCUUAGAGAGUACUAUGACCUCUAGAGAGUACUAGGACCUCUAGAGAGUACUAGGACCUCUUAGAGAGUACCAGAACCUCUUAGAGAGUACUUAGACCUCUUAGAGAGUACUAGAACCUCUUAGAAAGUACUAAGACCUGUAGAGAGUACUAGGACCUCGUAGAGAGUACUAGGACCUCUUAGAGAGUACUAGGACCUCUAGCAAGUACUAGGACCUCUUAGAGAGUACUAGGACCUCUAGAGAGUACUAGGACCUCUACAGAGUACUAGGACCUCUAGAGAAUACAAGGACCUCUAGAGAGUACUAGGAUCUCUUGAGAGUACUAGGACCUCUAGAGUGAGUACUAGGACCUCUAGAGAGUACUAGGACCUCUGAGUGAGUACUAGGACCUCUAGAGAGUACUAGGACCUCUAGAGAGUACUAGGAUCUCUAGAGAGUACUAGGACCUCUAGAGUGAGUACUAGGACCUCUAGAGAGUACUAGGAUCUCUAGAGUGAAUACUAGGACCUCUAGAGAGUACUAGGACCUCUAGAGAGUACUAGGACCUCUUAGAGAGUACUAAGACCUCUUAGAGAGUACUAGGACCUCUUAGAGAGUACUAAGACCUCUUAGAGAGUACUAGGACCUCUAGAGAGUACUAGGACCUCUUAGAGAGUACUAGGACCUGUAGAGAGUAUUAGGACCUCUUAGAGAGUACUAGGACCUCUUAGAGAGUACUAGGACCUCUUAGAGAGUACUAAGACCUCUUAGAGAGUACUAGGACCUCUAGAAAGUACUAGGACCUAUAGAGAGUACUAACAUCUCUAGAGACUACUAGGACCUCUUAGAGAAUGCUAAGACCUCUUAGAGAGUACUAAGACCUCUUAAAAGAGUACUAGACCCUCUAGAAAGUACUAGGACCUCUAGAAAACAGAUACUAUUCCGAGUCUUCCAGUGUUAUGAGAUUACAUAAACAAAUUCUCCAAACAGGAGCGUUGGUGUUCUUUUCAACAGGACAACAGAUAAGCUUUUUAGCAGGGCUAUUGAUGUGCUUCAUAACAGGAAUAUAAAUGUUCUUCACAGUAGAAAUAUAUUGACUUUCUUCAUAACAAGAAUAUAGAUGUUCUUCAGUCCAAAAAACAUAGAUACUGUAUUCUUUACAUCAGGAAUAUAGACAUUUUUCACAGUAAAAUAAUAUAUAUUAGAUUCACUUUAUUCCAGCAUCUUGUGAACUCUCUUUGUGUGGAAAUUACAUCAGCACAAGAGAAAGGUAGACGAUCCACAUAUAUAUAAUACAUAUGCACUAUAGAAAGAUCCAUAAGUUAAUACAUAGCUUUGCAAAAAUAGAUUACACGUAUAUAGAAAUAUGCUUCAUAUAUGUGAAAAAAUAGCCUUUGAGAUAUAUUGACAUAGGAUUAUCACACUACUGGGGAGGGCUCACACCACUGGGCUCACAACACUGGGCUCACAACACUGGGCUCACACCACUGGGCUCACAACACUGGGCUCACAACACUGGGCUCACAACACUGGGCUCACAACACUGGGCUCACACCACUGGAAGACUUUGAUAUAAGCUGAGAUUCCUUUACCACUUGCUCCUCUUACUCACAGGAGGGGAGACUCUUGCUGCUCUUACUCACAGGAGGGGAGGCUCUUGCUGCUCUUACUCACAGGAGGGGAGACUCUUGCUGCUCUUACUCACAGGAGGGGAGACUCUUGCUGCUCUCACUCACAGGAGAGGGACUCCAGUUCCCUCCGGCUAGCUGUAUGGUCGGCUAAUAUUAAAGUGUUUGUACAAGGGACAUAUUUCUCAAUAAAUGUCUACCCAAA